UAUGGAGACCAUUAACCUGAGAUGCACCUGGAUAGUUCAUCUGCCUUUGCUUUGGAUUCCCUUGAUAAUGUGGUCUGGAAUAACGACAGUGACAGACUGUCAGGAAACCUGGUUAGCGACUGGAUACAUUUUGAAAGACCAACCGGCGUAUUCGACCACCAUGUGGACUCCCAGCAACUUGGUAUGUGCUCUCCAUGCCAGACGAUCCAUGUCCUCCAAGUUUGUUUACGCAAAUGAGACCUGUGACUUAUAUGAGAGCGUCAGUGAAACUUCAGGUCCGACCAUGAAAUUCGCCAAAAGCAUUUCUGCCAACUUGUUGGAGGAAAUCGCCAGGGGAAAGAACACCUUUGCUAGCACGCAAUAUUCGUAUUACGCAAAAGGAUUGGCUGUCGAUGGAAACAUAUCGACAUCGUACUAUUCUCUGUAUUUAGUACAGUACCCUUUCUUGAUGGUCGAUUUAGGGGAAGUUCGAACUGUGUAUCUGGUCAAGAUCCUCCCUGUGAACGAU